rnacentral:rRNA from 1 species
UACGUAGGGUGCAAGCGUUGUCCGGAAUUAUUGGGCGUAAAGAGCUCGUAGGCGGUUUGUCGCGUCUGCCGUGAAAGUCCGGGGCUCAACUCCGGAUCUGCGGUGGGUACGGGCAGACUAGAGUGAUGUAGGGGAGACUGGAAUUCCUGGUGUAGCGGUGAAAUGCGUAGAUAUCAGGAGGAACACCGGUGGCGAAGGCGGCUUUCUGGACAGAUAUCGACGCUGAGGCACGAAAGCUAGGGGGAGCAAACAGG